GACGCACGAGAAACAGAGUCCCGGAUUCCCCUCAUCUCUCCCCGCCAUCCAUCGCCUCGUCUCCCUCCUCCGACCCACCUUGCCGCCGGCCCUCCCCCUCCGCUCCUCCCACCUCGCAGCUCCGAUGGCUGCCGGAUCCGCCCAAUCCCCACCCACUCAUCCCUCUCGCGUCCCAUCUCCCUCUCUUCACGCGGCUCCUUGCUGCGCCACCUGCGGUGGCUGAUUCAGGCGACAUCCGGUGAACCCCGCCACCAUGAAGCACAGCCCGACGUCCCUCGCACCGCGGCGCCCUCCCAUCCGGUUAGAUCUGGUGCUCGUGGUCACCAAAGCCCACCCGCGACCCUCCCCCCAUGGCUACUAGGGUUUCAGGCGUUGGCUCUGGUUACCGUCCUCCUCCUCUCGUCCGGGAGGAACCGCCAGUGGACAUCCUUGCAGCUGCGCAGGAAGCAGCCAUGGAGCUUCCUCCUCCUCUGGCUUCGGGUGAUUUGGUCCACUCCUCCCCUCUGCUCUGGUUCGUGGCACAUCAGGAGCAGUAGUGGCUUCAAAUUAACCCCGAGUUGCAUAUUAUUUCUAGGGCAACAACAUUGUAGGGAAUGAUUCUCUUUCUAGUAAGCUAUUCUGAAGCCCAUCUACGUGUUGGAGCAGCAACCAGUGUGUUUGAGGGAGUGAAAGCAUCCAGUUGGGGUGGUCUGCAGCUCUGGUCACCUCCAGCAGCACCACAUAAUCAAUGUUCCAAACAGUAGUGCUGCACUGCUGCCUCCAGCCAGCAUUUCACUUUGAUGUUUAUAGCUGCACGCACCAACUCGAUGUACGGCGACUCCAUGGAGCAAGUCGAGUUCGUGGAGCAAGUCAUGGACAAUGCCAUUGAAGGUAUACCCUCUCCCUCUCCCUACCGUGGUACUGCUCAUUGUGUCCAUGGCCAUUGAGCCGUGCUAGGUUCUAUGCUCCUUUGCAUGCAACUUUAUAGCAUUUGGGGCUGUAGGUUUCAGUGGAUUUAUUUAGCAAUAAAUAAUUCUGUUGGUUCACACAAAAUAGUUUGACUGUUGGUGUACAGAAUUAGCAAUGGAUCUCUAGGCUGGUAAUGACUAUGUAAAUUCUUUCAGUGCAUUUGGGGCUGUAGUUUUGUUCCAAAGCGUGGUGAGCACCUGUAGGUUUGUUUGUUUCCUGUUGGAUGACUGAAACCAACUAGAGCUAAAUGUUUUGGUUCAGUUUCAGACGACUAAAACCAUUUUGGUUCAGUUUGCUAACUAAAUGGAGAAGAGAAGAGAAUUGGUACUGUCACUCACAUUGCCCUUGAAUGCACAUCAGCACUUAGGCUACUCUCCAUAUAAUUUUAUUAAGCCAUGUUGUUCUGCAGGCUGUGUCAUAUAUUGUGGCGUCUGGAUUAGUCAUGAAUGACUACUAACACUCAUGCCGGUAUCUUUUCAUAAUCAUAACAGGGACGUAGCUCUUGCUAUAGUUGUAAGUUGUGAUCCUAAAUUUAAACUUGAUGGUGCUAAAAUUACAAAUGAAUUCUGGGUAGUACAUGUCGAUAUGGCACUUGUGAAAACUGAAGAUUUGGUACGGAGUCGCAAAAGCAGUAAUACUCUCGAUAAGGCAGGAAAAAAAGAGUGCAUGACCUUCAACCUUUAUUCAAAAUAUAUAUGGAUGAUUAUAAUGGUGCGUGGCAAGUAUACUGCAAUGAUGACGAUGUUCCGGUUCAUGAUGAUGAUGAUGAUGGAUGCUCUCUUAGUUAAGUUGUAGGAAUGAUGUUCCCGUCGGAUGAUGUUCCCUAGUUAAGUUUAGUUAAGUUGUAGGGAUAUUGAAAGAUGCUUUCUGAUUAAGUUUCACUGUCAAGAAAAUAUUUAGAUUAUGCAUCACAUUUUGAUGAUGUGUCCCCUAUAAUAUCAACCAUUGUAAUCCAACAGCUUUAUCCAAUAUAUGAUUUCUUUCUC